UACGAAGGGGGCUAGCGUUGCUCGGAAUUACUGGGCGUAAAGCGCACGUAGGCGGUCUUUUAAGUCGGUGGUGAAAUCCUGGAGCUCAACUCCAGAACUGCCUUCGAUACUGGAAGACUUGAGUCCGGGAGAGGUGAGUGGAACUGCGAGUGUAGAGGUGAAAUUCGUAGAUAUUCGCAAGAACACCAGUGGCGAAGGCGGCUCACUGGCCCGGUACUGACGCUGAGGUGCGAAAGCGUGGGGAGCAAACAGA
rnacentral:rRNA from 1 species